GUUUCUCUGUGUAGCCCUGACUGUCCUGGAGCUCACUCUGUAGACCAGGCUGGUCUCAAACUCACAGAGAGCCGCUUGCCUCUGCCUCCCGAGUGCUGGGACUAAAGGCGUGCGCCACCACUGCCCG
ensembl:miRNA